rnacentral:lncRNA from 1 species
CCCGUCUAGGCUUCGCCUUAUGGGCUUGUCCCGUGCGCGCGCCUGCGCCCGCUGAAAGUUCAAACUAUGCACCUAUCAGUGUGGGCGCCUCACCCCUCAUGGGUGAGGCGGCGGCCAUCAAAGGAAUUCCUAUGCCGGCCCCGCCUCUCGCCCCCAUAUCGGACGAUAUGCAGGGCGAGUGCUUUCGCACCCCAUCGUCUUCCCGACGGGUUACCCAGUGCCCGUUGUUCCCGCCUGUGCAGCACUUUUUUAGUGCUGCCGGUGGGGACCCUUCUACACUGAAGGCCCCGGUGAAGUCCUACACGGAUUUCACCAACGUGGAAGGGUGGGCCGAUACUCAGGCGAGGGGGAUCCCUCGCCUGGAGCCUCCACUGGCAGCGCUUCUCUGUCCGGGCGCCGGAUGGUGCCCUAACGAAAAGCCGCUGCCCCCCGACCGCCUCCAGAAACAGAUUGUCGGCCUAACGGACAGGGUGUUCGUUUGUGCCUCUCAAUCUGCGGCGGCGGUCAACAACAUCGCCCUGCACUCCUCCGCCAUGGUCUCCUUGUCGGCUGACCGGGAGGCCUACGGCCCGGAGGAAGCUGCAAGAUGGCUGGCGGUUUCCCGCUUUUCCAGCGCCAUCCUCCAGCUAUGCCAGCCGAUAGCCGUUUCGGCCGGCCGGCAUAUGGCGUGGGCAACUAUGAUUCAGCGAAUCAUAUGGCUCUCCCACACUGCGGUGCCGGAACGGGAGCGGGCCAGCCUGGUCCAGGGUCCACUAGCGCCGGAUGGCCUAUUUGGUCCCCGGUUCUCAGAGGUUCUCGCGCACCAGCAGUCUGUCCGUGAGAAUCGUUCCCGGUUCGGGGCGAUUCUCACGGGCUCCUCCCACCAGCAGGCCGGGAGGAAGCGGGGCCCAGGCCGGGCCCAGCGUUCCAGGGGACCGCCUCCGACUCCAGCCCCGAUGCCGCAGCAGCAGCAGCAGCAGCGGCCGCCGCCACCGCGGACGGGUGGAGCAGCGCCACGGACCGGAAAAUUCCGGAAGCUGGCUCCGACUUUUUCCUUCCCUAAUAAAGAAAAAAAUAAAGACAGUUCGACUGAACGGCAGUACAUGGUACCCAAAGAGCGAUAUUCCUUAGGCCACCUGCGUCCUACGGUUGUGGCGCGUUC